UGUUGAAGAGAAGCCCUUGUCGGUACGCUUGCGUAUCCAACAAGAUGAUCGGAGUGCGGUCUGGUUCUAGGUCUCGUUCCCCAGUCGACUGCCUGUGGCAUGUUAACCGGGCCCUUAUAUUAUUUGGUCUUCCGCUGCUGUUAUCUGAUAGUUGACGGGCUACCUGGCCCUAAUGGAUUGGUACGGAUAAACACAGAAGAUUUCCGAUUUCCAAAAUCGGGGGUCUACAGUGGACAACGUUAUGCUAUAGAUGUUCAACAUGGAGGGAAUUCAAAAGAGGCACCAUGGAUGAAAAGGAAGCUCACCAAAUGGAGGAAAACAAAAUGCUGCUGUUGCUGCCCUGUAGGCUGAAACCACCACUCUCUUAUUCCUUCUCGAUCUCUCUCAACUCUCCAUGCAUGUGCAAGAUGUUGGGAUGGAUGGAAAGCUUGGAUGAUGGGGAUUGUUGUGGUCUAACAUGCAUGGAUUGAUCUUGGGCUAUUGGAUGGGGUUUGGGGAGGAGAAGUUAGAUGUGAACUCAGCUUGAGGAGGAAAAGAAAGAACAGGCAGUGAAAAUGAAAGGGAAUCCUUUCGAAAAAAAAUGAAUGGGGAGGAAGAAGAAGGGGUUUUCUCUGCCCCCCUUAAGUUCUGAGGUGGGAGCACGCCCAUGGGUGUGUUGUGGGGUUUAAGAGGCACCCAAGGUCAGUGACAAGUGGACCCAAGACAUGGCUGUCUAUGAGGGUGAGAGAGGUGGGUGAAAAACUGAGUAUAGAUUCGUUCUUUCAAUUUCCAGGAUUUAUUUUCUUUCCCUCUCAUGGUAAAUUCGAUUUGUCUAGGUAAAACUUGUUCAAAAAUUCAGGAAUAUGGUGUGGUGAUAGGUGUUGGUUUAUAGGUUCCAUUUUUCAAAGUUUCACACAUAAAUUCCAAGUAUUUUAAAUCUGGUGAAAAGAUGAAAUUAGUUAGGCUGAAAGUUAUAUUGAAAUUUCAGGAGGUCAAAACGGAGAGCUAAAAUUCCACAAAAUUUAUAUUUGUUGGUGAUAAAUAAACAAGUAUUUGAAUAAAUUAUUAAACAUGUAUACUUCUAUUCAAGUUGUUGUUCAAGUAGAAGUGGUUUCAAUUUUACCGUUUAGAGUUAAUUUUGUUAUCGCAUACGAUCAAUUUGCAAUAUAGUAAAUAUGUAAUCUAAAAGACAACAAAUGCACUUCUAAAUACCUGGUUAUGAAUGUAGGGUUGUUCGAAUCUCUCUGGACCGAGUCGCAUCUAUGUUUAGACCAAGGCAACCGAUAGUUGAGCCGAUUCCGUAGAUAACCAUGGGACAACAUUUGCCUAUUCCACAGCAACAGUGUUGACGGUCCUUAAGUCAUAAUAUUUGACCGUCAAUGCCUGCAUAUAAUGGAAUAAAAUGUGGAAACCAACAUAGUGGUAGGGAUUAUUACUAAUCAAUUCCACUAGUGUUGGUGAAAUAUGUGUAUGCAGGGAUUUUAAGAAGAAAACACACCCGGCAUGCAAAGAAACACACCUCCAGCCAAUCAGGCGCGAGCACACGGAUUGGAGGGCCCACAAAUCAGGUGAAACCUCCAUGGAACAGGCCAUAACUGCCAUAACCGUCAUCAGGGCCCACCAGUCAGUGUCCCUACCAAAGGAGAGGCCAGGAGGCGGGGACCAGGGUUCAGCCGAACCACCACAGCCUCCUCUCAUCCUGGCCCUCCACGUGUACGUUGUUGAUGCCUUCCCAAUGACGGUUGAGGGCGUUUUGGACAAUUCCCAUAGCUGUAACCAUCAUAUGGAGGCUAUAAAUAGAGCUCUCCUUCACACUUCACAACACACAACUUUGAGCUGAAUUACAAGAGGCUCUAUUGUAUCUUUUGUACAUUAGAAUAAGGUAGAGAGUGAGGGGAACCCAAAAACUCUCCUCCCGGCCCCUCCUUCGGCCAGGGGGUUGCUUAUUGGGCCUCCAACAACCUGGACUAUGUUUUGGCCUAAUUCUAAAUGGUUUUUAUUGACUUA